rnacentral:lncRNA from 1 species
AUUUUGGUCUAGAAUACAGAAAAUUUGGAGUGUAUUCAUAAGUUUGGAAUUAAUUACAAGUCAGUCUUUUCUGGGCUUCAGUUUCUUCCAUUUUAAAAGUAUAUGAGGGUUGAUAGGGGACCAGGGAUUUAGCUCAGUGGUUCCACUGCCUGCCUCGCAAGCGCAAGGACCCAGGUUCAAUCCCUGGUACCACACCCCCAAAAAAAACAAAAUGAAAAACUAUAUGAGGGUUGCAGUUGGAUAAAAACACUCAUUGCAAGUUUUAAGCGUGUGUGUGUGUGUGUGUGUGUGUGUGUGUGUGUGUAUGCAUGUGUAUGCAUGUAUGUAUAUGAGUAUAUAUAUAUAUAUAGUUCUGUAUUUAUAUAUAUUCAUAAAAUUUCUUUAGACAAUCAACUGAAGGCACUAACUGAGAAAAACAAAGAAUUAGAAAUUGCUCAGGAUCGCAGCAUCACCAUUCAGAGCCAAUUUACAAGAACAAAGGAAGAAUUAGAAGCUGAGAAAAGAGACUUAAUUAGAACCAAUGAGAGACUAUCUCAAGAACUUGAAUACUUAACAGAGGAUGUUAAACGGUUAAAUGAAAAACUUAAAGAAAGCAGUGCAACAAAGAGUGAACUUCAGCUAAAAUUAGAUGAACUUCAAGCUUCUGAUGUUUCCAUUAAGGCAAGUAAUAAGUAA